rfam:Pteropus alecto contig163224, whole genome shotgun sequence.
AUAGUGGCUUUACUUAAAGCCACCAUCUUUAUCAGUUUCUAUGCCU